UACAGAGGGUGCAAGCGUUAAUCGGAAUUACUGGGCGUAAAGCGUGUGUAGGUGGUUUGCUAAGUCAGGUGUGAAAUCCCCCAGGCUCAACCUGGGAACUGCAUUUGAUACUGGCAGGCUAGAGUGUGGUAGAGGAUGGUGGAAUUCCCGGUGUAGCGGUGAAAUGCGUAGAUAUCGGGAGGAACAUCAGUGGCGAAGGCGGCCAUCUGGACUAACACUGACACUGAGACACGAAAGCGUGGGGAGCAAACAGG
rnacentral:rRNA from 1 species